GAGGGGGCGGGGAGGAGCAGCGCGGUCUGCAGACCCACAGAGUCUGGCGGGGAGCCGAGGAGGAGGAGAGGCAGCAGCAGCAGCAGCAGCGGUGGAAGAGAUGGACUCACACCUCUGAAUCACAACUCAACCUCCAGUCACGGAGACUUGGGACGACUAAGUGUUCUGGAGCGGGAUUUUUUGCUCGUGUUGCUCACUGAGACUGAAAAAAAAAUUAAUAAUAAGCAGCACAGGAGCGGGGAGGUUUGUUUUCUAUAUAGUUGCACCCUGACGCUCAGCGCUCCUGUCGUCUCACCUGCACUGCAAGUCCGCUGUGAUAAUAAUGCAUCCAGAUAAGUACUUACCUGAACUGGUGGCCGAGAAAAACACCCUGGAUCCCUGCUUUGUGCAUGCGGUGCGCCUGCUUGCAGAAGAGAUUGAAAAGUGUGACGGCGAUGAAUUGAGAAAAGAUGGCGACACAAAGAAAUACCUAGAUAUAAUCAGCAAUAAAAAUAUCAAGCUCUCCGAAAGAGUUCUCAUUCCCAUCCAGCAGUAUCCAAAGUUUAAUUUUGUAGGGAAGCUGCUGGGACCACGGGGAAAUUCUAUGAAACGAUUACAAGAGGAGACAGGAGUGAAGAUGUCCAUUCUUGGCAAAGGGUCCAUGAGGGAUAAAGGCAAAGAAGAGGAAUUACGGAAAAGUGGUGAAGCCAAAUACGCCCACCUGAGUAAUGAUCUACACGUUUUAAUUGAAGUCUUCGCUCCACCUGGAGAGGCCUACUCUCGCAUGAGCCAUGCCUUGGAGGAGAUUAAAAAAUUUCUAGUCCCAGACUACAAUGACGAGAUCAGACAGGAGCAACUGAGAGAGUUAUCCCUGUUGAACGGAUCUGACGAGUCGAGCAGAGGGAGGAGUGUACAGGCGAGAAGUGUGCGAACAACAACCACAACAAUAUCCACAAGGGGCCACAGAGGUGCAGGAAGGAGUGCUGCAGCACCUCGGGGGACAGCGACGGCAGCACACAGCAAACUUCCUACGACGGUGGUGACGAGGGAGGUACAAGCUCCCAGGGCCAGGGGGGCAGCAGCGAGCGCCGGAUACAGACCCCCGCUGUUAGCAGUCACACACGAAUCGUACGAUGACUAUGGCUACGAUGACGGCUACGAUGGAGAAUACGACGACGAGAGUUACCAAACCUAUGAGGAUAACUACAACAAUCAGUCAAAGAGCAUUUCAGGAUAUUAUGAAUAUGGACACGGAGCCAGUGAUGAAUCCUACAACAAUUAUGAGGAGGAGUGGGCGACCACCCGGCCCAGUCUCAAAGCCCCCGUUCUACGGCUGACAAGAGGGGGCUACAGGAAACAUCCGUACGGCAGAUACUGAAGAUAAAGAAACACACUGCAGUGUGUUUUGGUCAAAGCAGAGAGGAAUCCACCAGAGCAGAAGGCACAGAAAUCAGCUCCUACAGGACUGAAGAUUGUACUCAGCCAUCAGGCAUGCUCAGGUGCCUCAUCGGUCAGGCAAGAAACCUGGUACGUAUUCAACUUUGUUCUCAACAAAGCACCUAACAAAGGAGUUAUAGACAGUUUUCCUCAGUACGGUCUUGGAAAAGAUUAGUUGUUGAGCUUCUAUGAAGAAUUAUUGUGUCAGCCUAAUGCAAAAUUAACAAGACGUCUUCGUUUUGCACUUUGUUAAUCGAUCAUGUUGUCACACGCGAUGUUUUUCAAGGUUAUUUUCCUAGAAUAACAUCAUUGUAAAUCACCAGUGAGGAACAAAAAUGUAUUAGGCAAAUCUGCAAGAGACAGCAUUUUCAGGGAACACGGCAAUAAAGCAGUUUAGACGACACAAGUUGGAGCGAUUUCCGUCAUUCAUGGACGACUGUUCAUCAAAUCCAACUUCAGUUUCUCUGUAACUGCAGAGAUCACCAAACUGCCAAGAAGAAAAUGAUUAUUAAGUAGCUGUAAGUGAAUAUUAAACUGGUCACAAGAAUUGCUUCUUAUUUCCAACUCCUUUCUGUUCAGAGUGGCUUGUUUUUUCAAACUAACUGUUUAUUUGCACCUAUGAGUUGGAAGGGAUCAGUGUUGCUGGAAGCUCUGUGUCUGCCAGUGAUGGUCCUGCAGACUUUGCCAGAAGCUCUCUCGGAUCCAUUUUCAUAACAAGCAUGCCGCCAGCUAGAAACCAGCCAAGAGCCGAAAUCCCACAGCCUGCUAUGGAUGUGGAUGCGUUUCUUAAAGAGAAUGCCGCUCAUGAAACUGCUCUCACACUCAGAUUACAGAAGAGAUUAAAAAUAAAUAAAGGCUCAUUACUCAUUGUACAUGUUUUCAUUGUGCCCAGGUCUAAAGUGCUUAAAGACUUUGCAGCUGUCUUCGCAUCUCUUUUCACAUUAGUCCACACAUGGAUCUAUAGUGAUACGUGUCCAAUAAGCAGGACUGAGCUGUGGCUUCAGGUGCAAUAAAAACUGGCAGCUGUUUACUUUGUUGGUUUGCAAAGUUUAUCACCUUUGGCAACAUUGUUUAUGCAGCCACAACACUCUUAAUAGAAUCCACAUCAGUCUGUUUAGACUCUGCCUAUGCAUCUGUUCCUGCAAAAAAGAAAAAAAAGGUAAAGAUAAAUUCUGCUUGUGCUAACUUGUGUUUAUUGUGCACAGAGAUAAAAUUGGACUUGGAGAGAAAAGAUAAGGAAAAAUGAAACAUGAUGGCAAAAACCUAAAGGUAAGGAGGUCGUGGUAUCUGUGAUCAGCUACUUUUCUCUAUUAGAAUUUGUGAAUUUAUAGUUGAUUUGACUUGCAUUUAAAAGAAAAUUCUGGUUCAGAACUUUGCUGGAAGCAUUUUUACCAACCUGGAAAAAGAUCUUUUUUUAACAAAAAAUAACAUUCCUGUGCUUCAUUUUAGACCAUUUCACAAAUUCUGCUGUCUACAAAACUAUUUCACACAAGUUGAAUGUGAAAAACAAUUGAGGUUAUAGCUGUUUAUAGUAGUAGUAUCGACUCUUAAUCCAUUAGUUUUGACACUAGGGUUCAUAUUAAACUGUCUAACAGAUUUAAAGACUUCUAGAUCGUUCCAGCCGACAUUUCCUUCAACAUUUCAGCAACAACAGUGAUGAGAAUAGUGUUAUUAACUUUUGGUAACAACUCUAAAAACUAAACUCUAAGAAAUACUUUCACCUUUUGACAAAUGCUGUUUUAUGUUUUCUUACCAAGAGUUAGACAAGGCAGUCAGUUCCAAUCUAUAUAUAUAUAUGUAGCCACAGCCAGAAGCAAAAGGAAAAAGGCAGAAAACAGCUCUGUCCAAAAAGAAAAAACCCAUCCAGCCAAGAAACAGUCCAACGCAAAACCCUCAUCAAACCAUUCAGGGAUUGCAGGGAUGAUUAUGUACAGCAAUAAGCAUGAUCAGUCCACAUACAGUGAAGAAAAUGAAUCUGUGUAACCUGUUUUGACAGAAAUCUGCAUUUUCCUGUUUUUUCUGAUGAUUUGAUAAGAAAAAAAAGUCAAUUAUGUUUGAAUGAAUAAAACCAAAAUGAACAAAACACAAUUUUAUCCUCCAUUAUCAUCAUUUUGAUGUUGGUGAUUUUCUUUUGGCCCUGGUAAAACUCUCUGGGGGUGUCGGCAAUUAGUCUGUGCGAGAAAAACCUUGUCGUUUUUUUUGUUUGUUUCUGUAGUUUUGGUACAAAUUAAAUUAUAAUGAAAUGGAAUUUUAGAUUUGCUUGUAGGUAGAUUUUGCAACCUUUGAACAGAGCCAGUUCAGCUGUUUCAACCUGCCUCUCAUCUUUAUUCUAAGCUCAGCUACUUGCAGCUGAUGGCUUCAUAUUUCUGUGAUAGAGUAGCUAUGAAAAUAGUCUUUAUCUUUUCAUAUAACUGUAAAGCAAGAAAACAAAUGCGUUUCUUCUCCAAACACUAACCUAUUCCUUGUCAAAGUGAAUCUGGUUAUGGAAAUUUUGUCACUGACUAAGUAACCAGACAGGGAAAUAAAUAUAAAUAUGUAUGAUUGAAAAUAGACCUUGCACAUCUUGAGUUGAUACCAACACAUUCUGCAGUCAUGUAAUGAUACCAUCUGCUUAUGGGCUCUGACUGGCUACGAGGAAGAGUGAGAGAGAGACAUCCUCGGAUAUGCAACACGCUGUACCCGCUGAUUCUGUCAGCCUCUGAGUGAACAAACAAACGGUAGCUGCACACUCCUCCCUGCCAACUCUCACGCUCACUUUCGUAUUUUCUCAAAUAAUUGCACCUAUUUGUUUUUAACAAGACAAUGAGAGCUCAUUUGAAAAGGUCUAGGUGAGAGUGAGGACGUCUCGCUGCUUUCAUAUCCAUCUCAAGGACGAGCUGAUUGUCUCUGGCUAAAAGCUGCAUCUCCAUACAAAACGUCACCCAGGAUGUCAGACGCGUGCUGACAGAUUAUAACUGGGGGAUUCAUAAAGAGACAGUCAGUGGAUCGAGGGGAAUUACUGCACUGCAUUUGAUGCACACCCAGCCAAAAUGUCAGACUCGGGGCUCACAGGCCUCCUGCAUAUACAAACAGCUACACACAAAGGACACCAGUGUCAUUUGCCAUACAAAUCAGAAUCAAUUCAGACAGACUACUACAUGCUUGUCACAUGAAUAGUUCUACAUACCGUUAGAUUGUCUGAGAGGAAUUGUUUGACAUUUAAGGAAAUAUACUCAUUUGCUGUCUUUCCAAGAGUCAGAUGUGAAGAUUGAUGGCGCCCUCAUGUAAGACUGUUGGAUGUGAAGCAGGCAGGUGCUUUAUUAUAACAUGCAUAACAGAAAAAAAGACAGAUUUUUACCUUUUUAUAUACAGUUAAAACAAACAGGAAAUAAUAUGUUAAUUAGGGAGCUUUAGAGGUUCUGGAAGGCAGAUUUUUUUAUACGUGGAGAGGGCUAAGCUAACUGAUUAGUUUUACUCUCAGCUUUAGAAUGGUACCAGUCUUCUCAUUAAAUUCUCAGCAAAAAAAAAAUCAAGCACUUUCCAAAAUGUCAAAUUAGCCUUCUAAGUAUUUGAGUUCAAUUGAUUGCAAUUAUUUUUCACUUUUUCUGUUUUUCAGUUCAUAAUAUAUGUUUAUCUCUGUUUUCUUACAGGUUGCCAUGAAGACAAGAAGUUACCUCCUUGGUACAUAAUAAAACCUUUAACAUGUGCUGAAGCAUCUGAGUGUUAUAUUCUUUCAGCCUGUUAAAAUGUCCUCAGGUUAGCAAGUUUUCAUGUCAACCAAAAUCUGCACAAGGGGAUAGUUUUUCAGUUAAAUAUACACUGAAUUCACUUCUUAUAUUAUGAAUGUAUUUAAAGCAUCAUUUCUCCUCUGUUCAGUUUUAUUAAAGUGGUAUUUUGUAUUGUG